AUACGAAGGGGGCUAGCGUUGCUCGGAAUUACUGGGCGUGAAGGGAGCGUAGGCGGACAUUUAAGUCAGGGGUGAAAUCCCGGGGCUCAACCUCGGAAUUGCCUUUGAUACUGGGUGUCUUGAGUAUGAGAGAGGUGUGUGGAACUCCGAGUGUAGAGGUGAAAUUCGUAGAUAUUCGGAAGAACACCAGUGGCGAAGGCGACACACUGGCUCAUUACUGACGCUGAGGCUCGAAGGCGUGGGGAGCAAACAGGAUUAGAUACCCUGGUAGUCCACGCCGUAAACGAUGAUUGCUAGUUGUCGGGAUGCAUGCAUUUCGGUGACGCAGCUAACGCAUUAAGCAAUCCGCCUGGGGAGUACGGUCGCAAGAUUAA
rnacentral:rRNA from 1 species